UACGAAGGGGGCUAGCGUUGCUCGGAAUCACUGGGCGUAAAGGGUGCGUAGGCGGUCUGCUAAGUCGGGUGUGAAAGCCCAGAGCUCAACUCUGGAACUGCCUUUGAAACUAGAGGACUUGGGUACGGGAGAGGUGAGUGGAAUUCCGAGUGUAGAGGUGAAAUGCGUAGAUAUCGAGAGGAACACCUGCGGCGAAGGCGGGUUGCUGGGCUGACACUGACGCUGAACUGCGAAAGCUAGGGGAGCGAACGGG
rnacentral:rRNA from 1 species